GAUGAACGCUGGCGGCGUGCCUAAUACAUGCAAGUCGAGCGAACAGACGAGGAGCUUGCUCCUCUGCCGUUAGCGGCGGACGGGUGAGUAACACGUGGAUAACCUACCUAUAAGACUGGGAUAACUUCGGGAAACCGGAGCUAAUACCGGAUAAUAUAUUGAACCGCAUGGUUCAAUAGUUCAAGACGGUUUUGCUGUCACUUAUAGAUGGUUCCGCGCCGCAUUAGCUAGUUGGUAAGGUAACGGCUUACCAAGGCAACGAUGCGUAGCCGACCUGAGAGGGUGAUCGGCCACACUGGAACUGAGACACGGUCCAGACUCCUACGGGAGGCAGCAGUAGGGAAUCUUCCGCAAUGGGCGAAAGCCUGACGGAGCAACGCCGCGUGAGUGAUGAAGGUCUUCGGAUCGUAAAACUCUGUUAUUAGGGAAGAACAAAUGUGUAAGUAACUAUGGACGUCUUGACGGUACCUAAUCAGAAAGCAACGGCUAACUACGUG
rnacentral:rRNA from 1 species